rnacentral:rRNA from 1 species
AUUGAACGCUGGCGGCAGGCCUAACACAUGCAAGUCGAGCGAGCGGCGGACGGGUGCGUAAUGUUUGGGAAACUGCCUGAUGGAGGGGGAUAACUACUGGAAACGGUAGCUAAUACCGCAUAACAUCAGAUGUGCGCAGAUGGGAUUAGCUAGUAGGUGGGGUAACGGCCCACCUAGGCGACGAACCCUAGCUGGUCUGAGAGGUUGACCAGCCACACUGGAACUGAGACACGGGCCAGACUCCUACGGGAGGCAGCAGUGGGGAAUAGUGCACAAUGGGCGCAAGCCUGAUGCAGCCAUGCCGCGUGUGUGAAGAAGGCUUUCGGGUCGUAAAGCUCUUUCGUCAGGGAGGCGUUACCCGCAGAAGAAGCAACGGCUAACUCCGUGCCAGCAGCCGCGGUAAUUC